AAAGUCGUAACAAGGUCUCCGUUGGUGAACCAGCGGAGGGAUCAUUACUGAGUUUACAACUCCCAACCCAUGUGAACAUACCUUUUGUUGCUUCGGCGGGAUGCCCCCGGCGCCUAGUGUGCCCGGGAAUCAGGCCCCCGCCGGAGGACCCAAACUCUUGUUUUUAUAUAGAACUUCUGAGUGGAUUAUUUUAAUAAUUAAAACUUUCAACAACGGAUCUCUUGGUUCUG
rnacentral:misc_RNA from 1 species